ACGGUUUGCUUAGUGAUUCAUGAACAUGAGGGUGGACUCUGUUUUGAGGCUGUGGCAAGACUACCUUUGAUGAAUCUUUCUGGGUCAGAAACGUACUUGACAGAUUUUUUUUUUUCAUUUUGUACAUUUCUUCUUCAUCAAGCCAAACUAUCAGAGAAUUCCAACUACGACAGAGGAAAUGGAGUACCAUGUAGAUGAGCACGUCGCUGAAUGUCAAAGAUUGUAACAUAAAACUUGAAAUUCUCAACAGGACUGAGAAGUUUCAGAAGGAAUACUUAAAAUUGACUACAGAACACAAGACUUCAAGGCAGCUGUUAUGUGGAAUACUAAAGCUAUGUUUGAUCAACUAUGAACAGUCACACACUGACAAAUAGUAAAGAGAAUUUUUGAAUAUGAAAAAAGCUGGAAACUAUAAGUAACAACUGUAACAAGAAAACAAGAAAGGUGCUGGAAGAAGUGAAUGCAAUCACACAGACCAGCUCCACAGGUUUUCACCAUGACAGCAAAUGGCUCAAGCAGGAACCUAGCAAAACUGUCUUCUGAAAGGCUCCACCCAACAGCUGGCUGAAACAGAUGCAAAGACCCACAGCCCAACAUUUAGACGGAGCUUGGGGAGUCUUGUGGAAGAGUCGGAGGAAGGAUUGAGGGACCCAAAGAGGACAGGGACUCUACAGGAAGACCAACAGAGUCAACUAACCUGGACUUUUGGGGACUCUCAGAGACUGAACCACCAAAGAAUGAGCAUGGACUGGAACUAGCCCCACACUCACAUUCCCCCCACCCAAUACCCUCUUAUAUAUAGCAGAUGUGCAGCAUGGUCUUCAUUUGGGUUCCCCAAUAAUUGGAGCAGGGGCUGCCCCUGAAUCUGUUGCCUGCCUGUGGAUCAUCUUCCCCUAACUGGGCUUCCACGUUUAGCCUCAGUGAGAGAGGAUACACCUAGUCCUGCAGUGACUGAUAUGCAGGGAGGAGAGGGGUGAUACCCAGGGGUUCCCCUUUCUUGGGAGGAGUGAGGAGAGGAGCUGUGAGGCAGGACUUAAGGGGGCUGAUAUUGGAAUAUAAAAUAAAUAAGUAAAUAAAAUAAUUUUAAAAAAAAGAAAGAGGUUCCAUGAGCUUGAGGGUCAUACCAAAGGAUUUGGAAUAGAAUGAAGCCUUCUACUUCUAUAAUGUCUAUAAUGACACUCCUUUCUUCUGGUUGUUUCUAGUAGUUUGCUUUAAGAUGGUGACUACAAUCUUUGCCUGUGUAUUUGUUUUUGUUUGUUUGUUUUCAGUUCAGCCUGGUGGCUUUUUUGACUGAAGAGUAGCACGUCUUUGGUAGUUUGAAUAUUUCCGGCCCAGAAAGUAAAUAUCAUAGUGUUUGCUAAAGACACCUUGCUCUUAAUAUGGUCCAUGGCCAUUCUAUUGGAUAUUGAUCCAGCUGCAUUUUUAGUACUGAGGAACUUUUAGCAGGAACAGGAACUCCUGCUUUCCCUGUUAUGGUUUGAAUCUGAAAUCUCUGCCUCAGGUUCUCAGUCUAAUUGAUCUCGGUCUAGUUGAUGCUAUUGGGGAGACUGGAGAACUUGAAAAUGGAGAUCUGGAAAAUGGAGACCUGGAUGAAGAAGUGGGUCAUUGGGCCAGGUCCUUGGGAGUGUAUUAUCCUUGACAGCUUCCUGCCACUAUAUACACUUUCUCAUCUGCCAUUUGUGAACAUGGCUUUCCUCAUUAAGAUAGACUGACUAUAUCAAAACUGAACCAAAGGAAACCUUUUCACUUCUCAGACAUGUUAGCAAUUCGGUAAUAGUAGUGGAAAAGUAAUUAAUACUUUUUCUUUGCCUAUGAUGUCCUGCUCACAGUUGACUGAAUGUGGACCCCAACUGGGAUAUAUAUUCUCGGCACCUGGUAUAUUGUCCUGAUACACUUGUAAUAUUUGUGUGAAUUAAAGUUCUAAUGUAUACAUAUUAUAUCUUUCAAUUGUGGGUAAGCUAUUUUUGUAGUUUGCAGCUCCUCUUGUGAUUUAUAAAUCUGAGAAUUCUCU
rnacentral:lncRNA from 1 species